AGAGUUUGAUCCUGGCUCAGGAUGAACGCUAGCUACAGGCUUAACACAUGCAAGUCGAGGGGCAUCAGGAAGAAAGCUUGCUUUCUUUGCUGGCGACCGGCGCACGGGUGAGUAACACGUAUCCAACCUGCCCUUUACUCGGGGAUAGCCUUUCGAAAGAAAGAUUAAUACCCGAUGGCAUAAUGAUUCCGCAUGGUUUCAUUAUUAAAGGAUUCCGGUAAAGGAUGGGGAUGCGUUCCAUUAGGUUGUUGGUGAGGUAACGGCUCACCAAGCCUUCGAUGGAUAGGGGUUCUGAGAGGAAGGUCCCCCACAUUGGAACUGAGACACGGUCCAAACUCCUACGGGAGGCAGCAGUGAGGAAUAUUGGUCAAUGGGCGCUAGCCUGAACCAGCCAAGUAGCGUGAAGGAUGAAGGCUCUAUGGGUCGUAAACUUCUUUUAUAUAAGAAUAAAGUGCAGUAUGUAUACUGUUUUGUAUGUAUUAUAUGAAUAAGGAUCGGCUAACUCCGUGCCAGCAGCCGCGGUAAUACGGAGGAUCCGAGCGUUAUCCGGAUUUAUUGGGUUUAAAGGGAGCGUAGGUGGACUGGUAAGUCAGUUGUGAAAGUUUGCGGCUCAACCGUAAAAUUGCAGUUGAUACUGUCAGUCUUGAGUACAGUAGAGGUGGGCGGAAUUCGUGGUGUAGCGGUGAAAUGCUUAGAUAUCACGAAGAACUCCGAUUGCGAAGGCAGCUCACUGGACUGCAACUGACACUGAUGCUCGAAAGUGUGGGUAUCAAACAGGAUUAGAUACCCUGGUAGUCCACACAGUAAACGAUGAAUACUCGCUGUUUGCGAUAUACAGUAAGCGGCCAAGCGAAAGCAUUAAGUAUUCCACCUGGGGAGUACGCCGGCAACGGUGAAACUCAAAGGAAUUGACGGGGGCCCG
rnacentral:rRNA from 1 species